rnacentral:rRNA from 1 species
GACGAACGCUAGCGGCAGGCCUAAUACAUGCAAGUCGAACGGUAAGGUUCUCUUCGGAGAAUACACGAGUGGCGCACGGGUGCGUAACGCGUAUGCAACCUACCCUUUAGCGGGGGAUAGUCGCGGGAAACUGCGAAUAAUACCCCAUGAGUUCAUUUAAUGGCAUCAUUAGAUGAAGAAAGUUCCGGCGCUAAAGGAUGGGCAUGCGUCCCAUUAGCUAGUUGGAGGUGUAAUGGACCACCAAGGCAACGAUGGGUAGCUGGUCUGAGAGGAUGAUCAGCCACACGGGCACUGAGACACGGGCCCGACUUCUACGGAAGGCAGCAGUAAGGAAUAUUGGUCAAUGGGGGCAACCCUGAACCAGCCAUGCCGCGUGCAGGAAGACGGCCCUAUGGGUUGUAAACUGCUUUUAUCAGGGGCUAACCUGGUGCUAUACGCACCACUGAAGGUACCUGAAGAAUAAGCACCGGCUAACUACG